rnacentral:piRNA from 1 species
UAGUUUCUCAAAACUGCUUACUAGGAGG